GCUUCCUGCUCAGCCUUCCACCAGUUUUAUGAGACUGAUGAGUGACAGAGCCUUUCAGUGAUGUGGAGAGCAGGCAAGAAAGCACGUGUCCUAAGUUGCGUAGAGAGUUCAAGCAACGUGAUGACAAAAGCAGGAAUCUCACGGACUCUCACAAAGAGGAAAAGAAAGUGACUUAUUAUUUGAGAAGUCCUCACUGCCUGUGGCUAAAAAAAACAGAUCAGCACUACUGGGGAAGAAAAUGCACGACCAGAGACGCUUCUAAGAACCCAAGGUCCUACCAGACCACCAUCGCCCUCAUGCUUCGCUGUGCAUGCUUUUUGCAGAGGACGGCGGAUGCCCUGCGGGAAAUUGCCAUCAGAGCUGGAGUGAUCAUCUCGGAGCCAAACUUUCCAGGUCAUCGCAGAAAGAAUCUCUCGCGUCAGUUAUUUGUCCUUGACAAAAUGGACUAUGAUAUUUCCCAAUGCUUUGAAAAGUUGUGUGUUGACAAAAAUAAACAAAGACUUUUUUUUUUUCUCCUCAUAUAUACAUCUGUCAAUAUUUUACAAUAUUUUGUAAGCAGCCUUGAUACCGGGCACUUUGGGGCAUCUUGAAUAUACAGAAGUUUUCCCAUGCGUACUGUACAUUCAUUAAUCAUUGCACCAGAAUCCCUUUUCUACCAAAUCAGGUUCUUCCUCCUUAAAUCUUCAACAAAGACAUUUUUUUGACAAAGAUGUUUUUUGAAGGAGAGUGAGCAAACCCAAAGUGAAGUCCAGAGAGAGAAGUUCUACUUACACCGAAGUUACGACCACAACCAUUUAUGGAAUGUUCCUGUUUUUUGUUUGGUCUUUUUUUGGGGGGGGGGUGCCCACAGCAUGUGGAAGUUCUGGGGCCAGGGAUCCAACCUGUGCCACAGUAGUGACUCGAGCCACUGCAGUGACGAAGCUAGAUCCUUAACCUGCUGAGCCACCAGGGAACUCCUGAAAUAGUCCUCUCUUAUCCCCCAAAGGCAGAGAGAGGAGAAGGGAAAGAGUGACAGAGAGAGGAAUUCAACCCACAUUCCUGAUUAUCCAGGCCCUCAGGUCUCUGAGGAAGGGUUUUCUGAAUCAGUAAUGAAGCAUCAAUUACGUUAAGUAAAGGGGCAUUAGAGACGUGAGGAAACCAUGAGUCAUUGAAAGGUCUGGGGGAUUACUAGAAGCCUUACAUUUAGCUUACGAUUUAACUGAUCUCCUUUCAUUUGGUCUUCUGGAUCAUAUUUGAUUUAGAGCUUUUUACAGUAUGAACCAUACAUAGUAUUCUUGCCGUUGACAUGCUGCUUAAUUCCCUGAAGUCUUCAUCAAAUUCCGUUUUAAUAUAUCUUUCAUCACUCUAUUAUAGUCUGUCUGGUGAUGUCAGCUUUUCUGAAGAUAAGUCUAUCCUGCUGGUAUUUUUUUUUUAUUCCUUCCACAGAGUUUGAACUCUAUGAUCUGUGCUCUUUUAUUUUGUAAGGUGUAAACUUUUUCCACACCAAAAGUUUUUUUCAUAAAAAAGACCUGACAUCUCUUUACAGAUGUUAAUUAAUUCCCUCACUGGGAAGUAUUCCAUGUAUUUUGCAUCCUUGGGAAACGGGGACAGAGAGCGAAGUGACAUAUUGAAAUCAUGUAAAAACUCGGCGCCAGAGCUCGAAUUAUUACCCAGGAGAUAAAUUCGCACUCUUCGCUUCAGAGAGCAAUUGUAUUCUGAACUUGACACAAAUAAUGAUCAAAAAAUCAAAUCAUCAAGUAGAAGAGACCUGCCUGAGUUCCCGCCACUGACAUGCAAACCUACAGAGAAACUUACUCUUCAAGCAGGGGUAGCCGCUAAGAUGGACAGUGAAACUCGUAUUACCAAGAUUUUAUUACCGUGUGCAUACACACACACAGCAGGAUUUUUAGUAUCCUACUACGAAGUGUUAUUUGAAAUCAUUAAAACUAAACUGCACCUGUCAAAAUAAAUCAACCAAUACGUUUAGUGAUUC
rnacentral:lncRNA from 1 species